GGGGGACUUCCUUUUCUUUCUUACAAAUGCAUUCGACAAGUGAACAGCCGCAAGCAAUGCUUUCAAGAUCUCUACAUGAGCAGCCAAAAAUAACUUAGAAAAAGUUUAUCCUUUCCUGUAGUGAAGACUGAGGAGCAAGCAAGGAACUUCUGCUAUGCUGUACUUAGCCACUAUCUUAUUUUCGGAGAAAUGAAUAAAUAUUACACAGGCUAUUUUAAAGGCACUCAUGCUGUU
rnacentral:misc_RNA from 1 species